rnacentral:rRNA from 1 species
GUCGUAACAAGGUUUCCGUAGGUGAACCUGCGGAAGGAUCAUUAUUGAAACAAAUAUUAGUCAGGUGGGCUUGCUGGCUUUUACAAGUGAGCAGGCACACUUGUCUGAUUUUUAGCCACCUGUGCAUCUCCUGUAAACCUGAUAGAGGUUCAUCAAGUUUAAUUCUUGGACUGAGAACUGCUUUGUAGCUUUUCUUGUUUCUCUUCAGGUUUAUGUUUCUAUCUAAACAUUUUACGCUUGUUAUCAGAAUGUUUGUGUUAUAUACUUUGUAUAUCUUUACAACUUUCAACAACGGAUCUCUUGGCUCUCGCAUCGAUGAAGAACGCAGCGAAAUGCGAUAAGUAAUGUGAAUUGCAGAAUUCAGUGAAUCAUCGAAUCUUUGAACGCAUCUUGCGCUUCUUGGUAUUCCGAGGAGCAUGUCUGUUUGAGUGUCAUUAACUUCUCAAUCAUUCUGGCUUGAAUUAGCUGGUCUGAAUUGGAUUGUGGAUGGUUGCAGGUUUUAUUCUGCUCGUCUGAAAUAAAUUAGCAUAAGUUUUUCCAACCACUUAUUAUUGGUAUGAUAAACUACUUAUACUGCCAUUGAUGUGGUUUGGCUUGAGCUUCAAACAGUUUGCCUAGCAAACAGUCAUAUGAAACUUUUGACCUCAAUCAGAUAGGACUACCCGCUGAAC